CUUGGGGCUGAGAGAAGGCCGCGGAUCCCCGGCCUCGCGUGAGAGGCCUGGCCGGGCCGGAGGGCGCGCGGGCCGCCGGCGGCAGGACAAAGGCCUCGCGGGAGGACCCGGCAGCCAGGACCAAAUUCCCAGGGAAAGCCUCCUGGGGAAUCCACUGCAGCCAGGAAUGUUUUCCAAGACAUCCCUUGAUGCACUGCUGAGUUCCAAGCCUGACAGAGACCCAUGGCCAUAGCCCUGGGCUCUACUGGGUCAGGCUGGAACAGGAGGUGGUGACAUCCAAUAAGGAACAGAUAAACUGAGGUUGCAGCAUCCUCCUCCCAUGAAUCCCCCUCUCCUGCCCUGCAUUCCUCUGAAAUAAUUGGGGUUUCUCUUCUCACUUUCAAAUUCAGGAUUGGGGCACAUCCCCUUCACCACAUUCUGGAAAGGCAGCCCUUGUGUUUUGCAGUCCAAGAGUUCUGCUAGCUCAGCUCUGUUCCUGGAUGUCCAGCAGCUCAUUCUCUGCUGUAGUCAUAUCCUUCCUGAUGCUCCUCUGCAGCACACUCAGCUAUGGUCCUCUUUACCUUUAUCCUCUGAAAAGCAGCUCAGAAACACUUCCAGCUGCAGUUUCCUUUCCAAGAAGCCAAAACUGCACCUCACACAGGCCAUGGCACCUUUGUGCCAGAGAAGGAAGGAAUCAACAAGUUGCAACUGUAUUUCUGGCUGUAAGCAGGAAUUUCAGACCAUCCUUUAAGGAGCCCACUUGCUGUUAGCAGAGUACAGGACACAGCUCUGAAUGGGUAUGCACAGCACAGCCCAGCCUGGUACAACACUUCCAACUGUGCUGUGCCAGCACAUGUGAGAUUGGGCUCCCUGGAACAGCAAAGGUCUCUCAGAGUUACGGAGCAAUUUCUGUGUGUUUCACAUUCUGGACCAGCAAGAGAAGAGACUACUUGGACCCUGAAGAAUUCUCAUGCAAGAAAACUCCUCGUUCCAGCCCACACCUGCGUAACACAUAAAAUGACUCUGUUUUCCCUUCCUUCUAUUAUCUUUUAAGAGCCCCUGAGCUCUGGUCCUUUCAGAGGAGCUGGUUAUGAGCAACAAAGUAUGUAGAUAGCUGACCAAACAUUAUCUCAUCCAUGGGGACAAGCCAGCUUUCCUCUGCCAUCAGCUCUGCCAGAUCACUCCUGUGCACUUCCUGCUCACCAGCUCUGCCAUCAACCAGUGUUAAUACCUCCAUUUACAUUGCUGUGGUAGCUCUCCUCUUCUUGUCUCAGCCUCCUUGGAUGUCAGUAAUAUCCCUAGUACAGAGUACUUGUAUCAUCUUUUGAAGAACGACUCAGCUGCCACAGCCAUUUCCUUUGUCACUGGAUUUGACUAGAGCUUGGAGCUCCUCUCCACAUGCAGAGCAUGCUCAGCAGAACAGCAGCAAGCCCUACCUUCCCACCAUAGCCUCUCUGCUGACCCACAGGUUAGAUUAGACCAAAAUUGGGAAAGAUUUUAUAGAGAUUUUAAUAGAGUACAUAACAUGUUCCUUUGGCCUUCAAUUUUGAAAAGAUAAAAUCAGAAGUCAAGAUUCAUGUUUUUAAUAUGUUUUUGGUGACUUUUCUUUGCCUCUGCUUUCCCAGCUUGUGGAAUACACUAACUGCAUUUUCCCAAGCAUUUCUGUACUGCCUCAGGGUCUGGAAAUCUACUGAUAAAAGGUACACAAAAGAAGAGCUGAGAUUCCUCAAUGAUAUUGGGACACAGGCAGCUGGGGACUGGAAAAAAACAACAAAUAGCCUGAACCUUUAAAACAUAAAAGUUGGCAUGAGUGAUCUCAAAUCCAAACAUUUUAUAGCACUGGGAAAAACAAACAAACAAACAACAACAAACAAACAAACAAC